rnacentral:rRNA from 1 species
CAGCCGUAAACAAUGUGCGUUAGGUGUGUCGGUAACCACGUGUUACUGAUGCGCCGAAGAGAAAUCGUGAAACGCACCACCUGGGAAGUACGGUCGCAAGGCUGAAACUUAAAGGAAUUGGCGGGGGAGCACCACAACAGGUGGAGCCUGCGGUUUAAUUGGAUUCAACGCCGGACAUCUCACCGGAUAAGACAGCUGAAUGAUUGUCAAUCUGAAGGUUUUACAUGACUAGCUGAGAGGUGGUGCAUGGCGGUCAGUGACU